AUAAUUCUCCAACUGAUCUCUAUUAAGCCAAUAAUAAUUAAUAAGCCCUACUCCUAAACUACUGUACAGAAAACAAGCCAUUAUUUAGUGCCUUUUUAAAUCAGGUUUUUAAUUAUGUACUUUUUAAUCACUAUCAUUGUGGGGACAUUUUUUUUUUUUUCAGUGGAAGCAGAAUAUUCAGCAAUAAUAGCAGAACAAACAGAUGUGGUUCGGGACAUGGCUGUGGGAAUUCAUCAAUCGAAGAAUAACAGCAUUCUAAUCAUGCACAAAUAUAGCUACAAGCAUUGAGGUUUGGAUAGUGAAUCAGAUCCUAAAACAAUGCUGACAACAUUAUAAAAUGACCACUACCAGGCAAAAACAGGCCAGAUGUGCACAGCUUGUGCCAGCAUCAAAGUGAUGCCGGUGGCUUCAAGUUGGCACUGGCCGAUGCCAGAUGCUGAGUGGCCAAAAUGUUCUGACUGAGGGCAAAUUUGGCAGAGUGCCGCUGAAUUAAACACAUGGACAUAUGCAUGCCUGCUAACAUCUUUCAAGUUCACAACCAUCUGUCUUGGGCAACAACGAACAGGUCAGACACGUGUGCCAGACAAAACCAAACAGGUAAUAAAAAAAAGCAUACACGAUGCAGAUAGGUUUCACAAAAUUAUUAGUUAAACACCUGCCAGAACAGCAUAGGUGCCGUUUGUCAGGCGACAAAAACUUCUACACACAAAAAUUACCCCAAAAAAUGCUUCUCAGUUAUCUGUAAUAGUGUAAAGGUGCUAUCCUGCCAUCUAGUGGUAAAUAACUUUAUUGCAAAGUUUUACAGAAAACAUCAUGAGUGAAAAGGCAUCAAGAUAGACUGACAGGUGUGUGAAUGUAAACACAUUCAGGAUGAUGCAGAAGA